rnacentral:rRNA from 1 species
GAGAUUACUGGUAGCCGGCCUGAAGAGGGCGACCGGCCACACUGGGACUGAGACACGGCUUUACUCCUGCGGGAGGCAGCAGUGGGGAAUAUUGCACAAUGGGCGAAAGCCUGAUGCAGCGACGCCGCGUGGGGGAUGACGGCCUUCGGGUUGUAAACCUCUUUUACCACCAACGCAGGCUCCACGUUCUCGUGGGGUUGACGGUAGGUGGGGAAUAAGGACCGGCUAAGUACGUGCCAUCAGCCUCGGUAAUACGUAGGGUCCGAGCGUUGUCCGGAAGUAUUGGGGCGUAAAGAGCUCCGAGGCCGCGUGUCGGUCUGCUGGGAAAGACCGGGGCCUAACCGCGGUUCUGCAGUGGAUGCUGGCAGGCUUGACGUACGUACGGGAAACUGGAAU